GUUUCCAUAGCGACUGCUUCACGUCUGUAGUGCGCAUGCGUUGAACUAAAGGCGGGAAUUGUCAGUAUAGAGCCAUCAAGCAUCAUCCAGUCAUCCAGAAUAAAGACACCGGGACACAUACAUAGAGUUGAAAAUUUUUACCAGUCUUUAAUUGAAAUGCUUUUAUAGAUCAGCCUGACACGUCCACGUUACAGAGGGAGCAAAAAACGUGGGAUCUGGCAGACUUACUGGCAGCAUAGUAUCUCCCAGACAGCAGAUAUGCAUUGCAGGUCCCUCUACCUAAGAUCAAGGUAAGCCACUGGUUCCUGGAAAUAUAGCUAUAUAUAUUUAUUUAUUCACCUUAUUAUAAGGUACAUAGAAAUCUCUCUGGGAAUAUAAACAGCCACAAAAUAUAUAGGACAUCUGCUUUCACUUUUUUUUUUUUUUUUUUACAAUUUUAUACAAAAAAAAAAAAAAAAAGAAAUAAUGAUAAGCGUUUAUUAAAACAGCCGCCAUUUUGGAAAAUAUCCCCACAAAAGCAGCAGUUCCCCCUCCCGUGACUAUGAACAUUUAGUGCGCACAUAAAAGCAAGUGGCAAGUAUGACGUGUACCACGUGGUUGUGUGGGGAUUAUAGAGGUACUCAGUGUCAUUACACAUUAUAAGUGUAUAGAGUUAGUUGGUAUCAUUAUACAGUGCAGCAUAUUCAGACACCACCAUAAAGUGCAUCACAUCAGGUAUCAACCAUGUCACAACACCAGCCCAGUUUUGUGACAUAUAUAAGAACAGGAUUGGGAGUGAAGAUGCUGCCCAUCGUCAUAUCCCGUACUGUUACUGCUUUUGUAGAUUGUUACAUACGUACAUAGAAAAAGGACUUUGUGAAUUGCCUUUAACCCCUUUGCUGAUUCCUAAAUAACACAUGUACAUAUACAUUUCACCAGCUGCAUCUAGAAGUCUUGAUAUGUACAGUAGCAUGGGAAUCUGUGUGCAAGCAUCGCUUAAAGCAGAUGUACAGUCAUUGACAUAGACCAGUGUUUCCCAAUCAGUGUUGCCUUAAGCUUUUGCAAAACUACAACUCCCAGCAUGCCAAGACAGCCAAAGGCUGCCCGGGCAUGCUGGGAGUUGUAGUUUUGCAACAGCUGGAGGUACUACUGGUUGGGAAACACUGAAUUAUACACUGCAUUGAAUCCUGUGUAAACCUGAGAAGACAUAGAGAGAGGUGACGGGGGAGGAGAGAGCAUGAGCUAUGCAUUUAUUUGAAGUCAGGGUGACUGUGUAACUAACAUUAGAUGAAUGUUGUCUGAACCCACCGAUUUUGGCAGGACCAGCUGACUAUCUAAUGUGUAUGGAUGGCCUCCCAACUCUCCACCACAGAAGUCAUCGGAACAGAUGGAUUGAGCAUUUGGAUUCCAACAUAAGAUAAGCCACCACCAGAGAUGUCUGCCAGCAGCUUAUCCCCCUCUCUAUUCUCUGUAUGAUGGUGGUGUGUAAGAGGAAAUUAGUUGUCAUCUGAAUGAUAUCUAAGAGAUAUCUAAGGUAUAUUGCCACCUUUAGUCAUAGCUUUAUAGCUGCCCAUCAAUGGGUCCUUUAAGGUAGGGUCACACGUAGUGUAUAUGCUGCAUAUUUUGCUGUGUAUUUUCUGCAGCUGAUUUUGCUACCCAUUGCCAGAAUAUACAGCAUAUACAAUAUGUGGGGCCCUACUCUAAAAUGGAAUUUAUCAUCUUUAUUUUUUUCUAGUAAGUAAAACAAACUGGCAAUAAAUAUUCCUUAUUUCCAAUCUCCUUUGUAUCUAUUAAUGGUACAUGUAUUUAUGCUAUUCUCUGUAUAUGAUUAGGGGAGUGCCCAUCUUGCUUGAGCUGCUAAAAACAGCAUUUGGAGAUAUGUUUUACAGUAGGAACAUAGGAACAUGGACCAUAAGAACAGGUAGUCUGAAGCGGACCUAUUUACUUCUGUAAAAGAGUUUUUGAAAUCUGUCUGUGAUUAAAAGAAGAGACUGCUGAGAAGUUUUUUCUACAAAACAGGAAGUGUCAGCCUAAUAUUAAAGGGGUACACCGCCCCUAGACAUCUUAUCCCCUAUCCAAAGGAUAGGGGAUAAGAUGUCUGAUCACAGGGUUCCCGCAACUGGGACCCCCGCGGUCUCUGUGCAGCAACCGGCAUCCGUGUAGAACGCUGGGUGCGGGCUUCGGGGGUCGUGAUGUCACGGCCACGCCCCUUGUGAUGACACUCCACACCCCCUCAAUUCAAGUAUAUGGGAGGGGGCAUGGCGGCUGCCGCGCCCCCUCCCAUAGACUUGCAUUGAGGGGGCGAGGUGUGACAUCACGAGGGGGCGUGGCUGUGAUGUCACGACACCCACUCCUUGCGUUUGGAACAAAAUGUUCCGAACACUGGGGCAGCGGAGUACCCCUUUAAGCUUGGUGGACAGAGUGAAAACUGCUAGAUUGUUUUAGUAUAGUUCUGUGUAAAAUGAAAUACAUAACUUUACCAUAAAAAUUGGUGUAAACAAUUGGCUGUUGUCUAUUAACACAUUCCCUGUAACUUUUUUCCAUUGACCCAACUAAAAGAAAAAGGAGAAGGUGUCAUAAAUAUAAUUAAGUGUGUUGGGAAACAGCACACAGAGGUAGAGGAAGAAUUCUCAGUACAGGUAAGUGACCAUAGAUCUGCUUUAAGAAGAAAGUGCGGCAUUCAUAGGUACAAAGAGUAAUGUGAAUAAAGUGCCAAAUAACAAUUCCACAAUGUGUUCUUAUUACCAAAAUUUCUACAUUUGCAAGUAGGAGAAUUUCAAACAGAAAGAAGCCAAAUUCCUUAUAAUGUCCAAGUCACCCCUCCCAUCAUAAAGUGAUAGCAUAUCCCAGCAAUAUACCAUCACUUUUUAAGAAAUGGGACUGUUGAAGAUUGUACUGAGCUGUGUUCUGUAGUCCUAGAGUGAGGGAAUUGAGCAGUGAUCAAGCAUGUGCACUACCCUGCAUUCACUCUGGGGACACGGAACCUCUGUACUUGUGAUCGGUGAGGGUCUCAGCAAAUGGACCCUCACCAUUCAGAUGCUUAUCGCCUAUCCACUGUAUAGAAGGUAAGUUAUAAUCUUGUGAUAACCCCAUUGAGGAGUUGCUAUUGUGCAGUUUCUCAGUAAUGUUAACAUCAUCCAGAUAAGUGGACAUUCUGGAAUAGUGUUACAGGUCAGAGUGCUAACUGGAAACAAUUGAACGACAUGCUAGAAAAGCUAUCCUUUCCUUCAUCUGUGCAGCAAUAAGAUAUAUAAUAUAUACAUGACCUCAAGGUGGUGGAAUGAUCCCCCAGGAUGGGACUGGCCAGGUCAUUUUAUUGACUAGUUAAAAGUCAAAAGGUGUCAGGGCAGAAAGUGACCCAUACACUGAAAUCCAUUACUGCACAGAAUGGAUGGGGGAACCCCUAGCCCUUGCCCACUAUCCAGUUGCUCAGAAGUGCAAAAUUCAUACAGUAUAAUCUCACUUACAUGGUAAUAAAGUGGCUUAUCGGGGGGGGUUACACUUUUGUUCCCUUACAUAACAAUGAUGGAGAACAGAAUUCUGAAAGCAUGAGUUGGUCUUGAUAAGCUUCAAAGCAUCACCCUGUUGCAAAACAUUAUGGUAUACAAAUCUGGUGUCCAUGCAAACUACGUUAAGGACAAUUUUUGUUUCCUUUAAGGUUAGACAUGCUUGGUGAUUUAAUCUACUUAUAAAAGCACAUUAGGUGUUGUUGCCCUUUAUAUGAGUCCAUUUUCCCUGUAAAGCUGAAAUUUUACUCCUUAUGCUUAUCAAUUAACCUUUAUACCGUACCUCGCAGGCAAUAUUUUUAGUCUUAGGACUGGUAGCAAAGGUGUCAAUUUUGUGUUUGCUUGUUUCAUUGUUUAGAUUAUGUGUAUAAUAAUAUUUUUUUUUGUUUUUGUUUUUUUUACCAUAGCAGCAAAAAGAUCAUUAGAACAAAAAAUAUGCCACUUCUUUUUUAGACCUGACUGUCAUGCAGACAUGCAAGAAAGAGAGGUGGGAUGGUGCACCCCCAAACCCUGCCCCCACUGACUCUUCUCAAAGUGACAAACACAUGUCAUUUUAUAAAAGGAGAGGGCUGAAGCACAGGCAGGAUUAUCUGGGAAGAAGGGAGAAUGACAGCGAGUGGAGAAAGCACAAGUGACAAGAAGAAUAUAGGGAGAGAAAAGAAAUUAGGGUGUACCAAUAUGGUACUAGAAGAACCCGCUUCCAAUAGAUAAAGAGAAUCAUGGCGCACUACACACCUGUCAGUCUGUGAGGUGAUACAUUUAGGGAGCUGUGGACUUCAAAGAGUCACCUGUUCCCCAGCAAAGAGAUGCCAGAAGAGCAGGGGAGGAAUCUGGGGGCUGCACAUACAGACGGAAUUCAUAUCUAUGAUAUCCAGUGUUUGCAGGAGGAGCGGGACCAUUGUAUUCUGAUUAGAAAAAGUGAAGUCUUAAAAUAAAAUCUUGUACAGGUUUCGAAACAGCAGAAAAUUCUACCUAAUAAUUUGCCUUAUCAAUGUUGAACUGGAAACCUUAAACCUCCCCACUUACUGAUGUUCAUCAAAAAAAUACCUGUACCUCAAAAUAAUUUUAUUUGUAAAAUGCCCCAAGCUCACAACUGUGCUGACUAUAUAACAGCUAAAAGCACCAAUCAGGAGUCAAGAAAUUAGCUUGACAUGUAGGCUCCUCCUAUAUCGGACUCUUUUCUAUCUUUUACAAAAAAAAGAAUCCUGUUUUUCAAAAUGGAAAAAGUAACUCCAGCAAUCCAAUAAAAGACUAAACUUUAUUACGGCAGAUCAAUAAAUACAGCACAAAGAGAAACACAACUACUGACUGUCAACGCGUUUCAGACCUCUCAGUCAGUAGUUGCACUUCUUCAUAUGCUGUAUAUUAUGGAUGUGGUUAAUAAAGUUCAAGUUUUUAUUCAUGUUUUAAUUUUUGCUUUCUGGCAACUCUGUACAGCCCAUAAUACAUUAUAGUUUAGCUGCACACAACACUACAAUGGAGUGCUGAUUUUCAGGGAUGAGGGCUCCCUUCUAGCCCCCUUAAGCAGUCAUUUGGGGGGUGCAGUUUACUGGAUAUGAUUGCCCAGUACAAAUAAAAGGGAAUCAGUCAUUAAUAUCAACCCAUUAACCUGUUGGUACAGGCUUGUAGUACAGGAGAGACUGAUGAUAAUGACACUUACCACAGGUUGAUCUGUUGCCUCGUUCACCUGUUAUGCUUCUUACUGGGUUGAUAGUAAUCAUCAGCUUUGGUGCUAGGGCACCACUCGAGCACCAAACCUGCCACCCAAAUGAGGAGGAUAGUGGGUGGAUGGAGCUAUAGCUCGGGGAUAGGUAAGUAUCACCCGCAUCAGUCUGUACCAUCAUGUUAGAGCAGGUGACAAUGAUGACACAUUCCCUUUAAAUAUUCAAUUCAAUGGUUGCAGGCAGAAGCCACUGAGGACCACCCUGAUGUCUUGUGGUUCAGGCAGCAUUGAAAUGAUGAUGCUUUCCCAUUAAGCCAUAGAAUACGGCUAAGGCCUCUUUCACACUACCGUUAUCACACGGUAGUGUGACGGCUGUCGCGGCUCCCGGGGAAAAUAGCGGUAGAAAAAAAAAUACAGUUUGUGGUUUUUUUUCUCCCGCUACUCCAGCUGAAAAACAGCGGCACCCAGCGGACCCCAUUGACUAUAAUGGGGUCCAUCGGGACCCGCUGUUGCCCGUUGCGCGCCUUCAAAAAAGAAGAGAGAGUUUGCCAUUCUUGACGGGGCGCAGCGUGAAAGAAGCCUAAAUCUUAAAUCAAGAGGAGUAACUUACUGAAGACCAAAAUGCAGCCACAAUAAUUUAAUUCAUGUUAAAAGCAAGGGGAUGAUAUUGAAGCUUUCAGUUUUCAAAGGACAGCUAAAAAAAAAAUACCUAGAGCUUGAAAGGGUACACGCAC